rnacentral:lncRNA from 1 species
GCCAGACUCAGACUUAGGCAUGGCUUGAACAUGCCUGCAAGCGAAGUACUUUCUCCAUUUUACAGAUGGAGAAACAGAGGCACAGAAAGGCUAGGUGUAGCACAGCUAGUAAAUGGUGGAUCCCAGGCCCUGAAGGGGCAAGCACCAUGCUUCUGGGCCCAGUGCACUGAGGACCUGCAUGUGUGUGGGUAGAUGUGUGAAUAAUGACGACACAGGGUCUAGGAGAGGAUGCGGGGUGUGUGACAUUUUGUGAGACAAAAUCUCUGGGGGCCCAAGGGGACGCAGCUUAGACAUUUACAGGGAGAGAUUCCCCAGCAACCAGUGGCCCUGGUAAGAGGACUUGGGGCCCUCCUUUCCUCCCUGUGCCUGCCCCAGGGACAGGGCUGCCAUGCUGCCCCCAAAGGGCCGGAAACCCCUUUGCAGAGCUGUGGGCUUAGGAACUUGCAUCUCUUCCUACCUCAGUGUCCAAGCACCAUGCAACCAGGCUCCCCAUAGGGAGCUGCCUGAGGAAGGGGAGGGAGGGGAGUUGCCUUGGCCCUUGGGGCCCCAGCAGGUUUGAGUCCCCUGUGAGCAGCACCCCCAAAUCUGCAGAGUGGGAUGCAGUUGAUACGCUAUGUAAAGAUGUUAGCCUUUAACUCCUCUGUCCUACUUUUCAGUGGUUGUUUCAAGCUAUUAGGUCUUGGGAUAGUUUGUUAUGCAAAAAAAUCAAACCAAACUGCCAAGACAAAUUUGGGGAACAAGGCCACAGAAACCAGACUUACGCUAAGCAGUAAUAAUCCCUGUGUCAUCCUAGAAUGGAGGUGGGCAGAGGCGAGGAACAGACCUGUGAAUAGGUGACGCGUGACAGAGCAGGGGACGGAGAUCAGAAUGGUUAAUGUGGCUGACAGAGCUGUCUGUCCAUUCGGGGACAAACACAGUUACAUUCCUGCCUUAUAUUUUACACAAACAUGAAUCCCAGAUGGGUUAUAAAGCUAAAUGUGUGUGAGUAGCCAAACAAUAAAAUGUUUAGACAAAA